rnacentral:lncRNA from 1 species
CUGCCUCCUGAACUCUGUCUUCUGUAGGACAUGAACUUCUCAUUAACUAAGAAGUCCUGAUAGCACUGCCAAUCCCAUGUGACAGUGGACCUCAUUCAAGAUGACCUGAUAAUUGGAAGGCACAAGAAAUUCUGGAGUAUGAGCAGUCACCACUCUGGUUAAAUCUCCACACUGAUAAACUGAAGACCAGUACUGCAAGCAACAAUUCACCAUACAACUGGCCUUUAUGCAGCUAAGAUACACACUCAAGCAACAGAAUUACUGAGCUUUAAAAGAAAGAGAUAUUUGAACGUCUCCUCAGGCUACUGAAAAUAUUAAAGAUUUUCAGAGAAAGGAAAAGAUUCUGGAAGGAACAGAUAUCGGGGAGAAUGAGAGAAAGGAGAUGUGUUCUGAAGCACUGUCAAACCGGAGUCUCCCAAGUGACUACCUGCUGAUCAGAUUUCUAAAUGUCUGGUAUAUCUUGGUGACCUGUGGAGUUGAAGACAGUAUUUUGAUCAACAGUUUGUGCAUAUAUGUUGCAAAGUUUGGACAGCCAUGCGUAUUGUUAGUAUUCUGUCUGUCUCUACAUGGACAUGCUCACAUGAACAACAACAAAGAACCCAAGCUAAAUGUUCCUUUGCAACAAUUUAAACAUUAUUAAUGUGAAGAAGACUGUCAGCAUAUCAAUACCCCUGUCUGCAACAGAAGCUGAUUCUUCAGAUCAAGAGCUGGGAAUUCGUGAAUAAGAUGAUGCACAGUGUUCCACUUUAAGAUACGUCUUUUUGAAUGGAAACCCCCUUGUAAG